rnacentral:rRNA from 1 species
AGAUUGAACGCUGGCGGCAUGCCUAACGCAUGCAAGUCGAACGGGAGUAGCAAUACUCUAGCGGCGGACGGGUGAGGAAUACGUAGGAAUUUGCCCUUAAGUGGGGGAUAACCCGGGGAAACCCGGAUUAAUACCGCAUGACCUCGAAAGAGCAAAGUGGGGGAUCGCAAGACCUCACGCUUUUGGAGAAGCCUACUUCGGAUUAGCUAGUUGGUGAGGUAAUGGCUCACCAAGGUCGACGAUCCGUAACUGGUCUGAGAGGAUGAUCAGUCACACCGGAACUGAGACCACGGUCCGACUCCUACGGGAGCAGCAGGUGGGGAACUAGUUGGACUAAGUCGGGUACGACAAGGCCUGGAACUCCGAGCC